rnacentral:miRNA from 1 species
AGGUGGGAGGAUUGCUUGAGCCUGGGAGGUGGAGGUUGCAGUGACCUGAGAUCGUGCUACUACACUCUAGCCUGGGCGAUAGAGCCAGACCUUGUCUC